CCAGCCGGGGGUGCUCCCCUCGUUCCCCCCCGGGCUGGACAAGAAGGCGGCGAAGAAGAUGAAGAAGAGGAUGAAGAAGGCUCACAAGAGGCACAAGCGCUCUUCGUCGUCGUCCUCCUCCUCCUCCAGCAGCUCCGACUGAGGCUCCUGGGACCCCCCAGGACCCCCAGAACCACCUGGGACCCCGCAGAACCUCCUGGAACCCCUGGGACCACCAGGAGCCACCUGGGACCUCUUGGGACCCCUGUGACCACCCCAGGACCCCCAUCCUGUCCCCGUGUCCCCCAUCCCCUGUUCCCGGGGGGUUCCGGAGUGUCCCCGCUGUCCCCCAAUAAAGCUCUGGGACACCCCAA